AUUGAACGCUGGCGGCAGGCCUAACACAUGCAAGUCGAGCGGAUGAAGGGUGCUUGCUCCUUGAUUCAGCGGCGGACGGGUGAGUAAUGCCUAGGAAUCUUCCUCUUCGUGUGGGAUAACGUCCGGAAAAGUGCGCUUAUACCCCAUACGUCCUGAGUGAGAAUGUGGGGGUUCUUCGGACCUCUCGCUAUCGGAUGAGCCUAGGUCGGAUUAGCUAGUUGGUGGGGUAAUGGCCUACCAAGGCGACGAUCCGUAACUGGUCUGAGAGGAUGAUCAGUCACAGUGGGAGUGAGAGGCGGUAUAGACACCGAGGGGAGGCAGAAGUGGGUAAGAUAGGAAGAAGGGCGGAAGACUGAACAAGCGAUGCAGCGUGUGUGAAGAAGGUCCGCGGAUUGGAAAACACUUUAAGUGGGGAAGAAGGGUAGUAAGUUAAAAGAUGGCUGUUGUGACGGUACCAAGAUAAGAAGCACCGGCUAACUACGUG
rnacentral:rRNA from 1 species